AGCCCUGUGGUGUUCUCAUAUCAGUUUGCAAACCUGAAGGUGCGCGUUCAGUCGCGCCGGGGCUU
rnacentral:tRNA from 1 species